UCUUUUCCUUUUUUGCCCGCCGCCGCGGUAAUACGUAGGCGGCAAGCGUUGUCCGGAAUUAUUGGGCGUAAAGGGAGCGCAGGCGGGAAACUAAGCGGAUCUUAAAAGUGCGGGGCUCAACCCCGUGAUGGGGUCCGAACUGGUUUUCUUGAGUGCAGGAGAGGAAAGCGGAAUUCCCAGUGUAGCGGUGAAAUGCGUAGAUAUUGGGAAGAACACCAGUGGCGAAGGCGGCUUUCUGGACUGUAACUGACGCUGAGGCUCGAAAGCUAGGGUAGCGAACGGG
rnacentral:rRNA from 1 species